UGUUGACACUUAUACAGGCAAACAUGUUGGAACAACUUAUUUUUGAGUUGGAGCAUUCAAUUAGGACCGCCGGCAGAUACCUUGAUAGGACAGUGAAAGAGCCCCCUUCAACACUUUUAUGGAUUUUAUUCUUUUUGGCUUAGCAUUAUGACAGAAGAGGACAAUAUGACGUUGCUCUUUCAAAAAUUAAUGAGGCCAUAGAGCACACACCAACUGUAAUUGAUUUAUACUCUGUCAAGAGUCGGAUACUGAAACAUGCUGGUGAUUUGGUAGCUGUGGCUUCAUUGACAGAUGAAGCUAGGUGUAUGGAUCUUGCAGAUCGCUAUAUAAACAGUGAAUCUGUGAAGCGAAUGUUGCAGGCUGAUAGGUUCUAAAGCUCCCCCCUUCAUCUUUUGUCAUAGUUAAUAAAAAAGGACAUUUUUUUAAUUUUUUUUUACAAUUUCAAAAUCUCAAGACUUCUUUUUUUGUGU